UAGGGGUUGUAGAGUGUCUUGCUACAGUCAGAUAUAUCUGGACUAGGGGUUGUAGAGUGUCUUGCUACAGUCAGAUAUAUCUGGACUAGGGGUUGUAGGGUAAAUGAGGGGCUGUACUGUAGAGGCAGAGAGGAGAGAGCCUUUCCAAGGUUAUUGUCCCCACCCCCGCACUGCAGAUAGCAGCCUUUAACAGAUAAUGUAGGAAUUAAUUUGCCUCAUCGCCCAGAGAAACACAACAGAACAUUCAAAGUAAAUAAACGGAAAAUAUCACCUUGGAUCCGAAGAAGGUGAAUAGAUUUCAGGAUGGGGCGGAAUGAUACAAAAAUAAAAACUAUUGAAUAGCAAAGGUAUGGAGAAACAAUUAGAAGGAAAGCUAAUCAAACUCUAAAUGUCCUUUUGGAGGAAGCUGUUGGCUUGGAAUGGGGUGCCCUUGCAUGUUGCAAUAACAGUGGAGCAGCAGCAUCAUUCCCAGGUGGAGGUGUGUCUCUUCAUUUUAAGAACCCUUUCUCAAGGAAAUGGUAGACGUCUCUCUCUCUCUCGUCUCCUGAUGUUUGUUAUUUCUUCCUCCCCUGGUUCCCAACACUGGGGAGGCCUGUAAUUGGCCACGCUGUUUCAUAUCAAUACAGUUCACUGUAAAACAAUGUGAGAUUCUAGAUGUGUUUGAACUGGUUUUUAAAUUCUCUUUGUUUCUUCACGCCUGUUUUCCCCCAACUGUAUGCCAAUGUAAAGGAUGCAAGAUGUCUCCUCAGAAAUGAUGCCAUCUGCCAUUACGUUUAAAGCUUUUUAUGGAUGGUCUGAAUGUGUCUGCCAUCUCUGUCUUUUCCCCUCUCCCCUACUUUCCUAUUCUCUCCUUCACAAGGUGAUUACUGCUUCACCACAAUGCAUAGUGACGCAAAGGUCCUUCUCUUUCUGUCUCUCUCUCGCUGGUUUUGGAUUGGGCGCGUGUCUAUUGCUUCGGUGACUGUUCGGGCUUUUCUGCCUGUCUGCUUGACUUAGAGGGGCCCUGGUCAAAAGUAGUGCACUUUGUAGGGAAUAGGGUGCCAGACGAUGUCUCUGGUUUCUGCUACCUCAGCUUGCCUGGUGGAAGACUGUUGGGGAGGGUAUAUGGGGUGGGGUAGUAUAGGCUCAAGGGCUUUCUGUACAGAUUGACAAGAACAUUUGGUAUUUUGUUGGUUGCGAGUGACGUUACAGGGAUGAGGGUCAAUUGGGUAGGGAUGAACCGUCCAUAUGCUUGACUAUUGGAGGGGGGGGGGUGUAGUAACCCCUUCGCUUGUAAGAUUUCGGGGUUUCUAUGAAAAAAAACAUGUAAUUUGUUUAUUAAUUUCUAGUUGAAGUUGAUAAUGCCUGCCGUGUUUCGAGCUUUCGAACCGUUCGUUUUGUUUGAACGCUGCUUUCUUUGACAACCACAUGCCUUCUGUAUUCUUUAGUUUGUAGUCGUCGUCGUGUGGAGAUACUAUCAGAUACUGCAGCGGUGUAUUAAAAGGGUUUGACUGAAGAGCAGCGCUGACUUAGGACCACAGAUCAAUCAGAUGUCAGCGGGACGUCUGCCAGGUGUUUUAGUUCAGACUUCUAGAGCAGCUCCGGUGAAGAACCUGCGGUGCAUAAGAUGAACCCUGUUUUACAGUUGAAGAAGCAGUUCCAGUUAUGUACAUUCGUAGAUCAGUUCCAUGGGAAGUGCAACAUUGAAAUUCAAAGCCCUUUGAUUUGGAGAUCUGCCUACCGUCUAUGUGUUAACCCAAUACUUACUCUCUACUCUGGCCAAAGAGGGAUAUGAUAUCCAUUCUUGAAAGCCAGACUUUGACCACUUUGACUUAUCUCUUCUUUAUACAGCCUUUUGUUAACUAAUUACCACACGAUUUCAGCCAAAUACCUAUUUUUUUCAGUGCUUUAUAAACAGCAAGGAUUGUAAAAAUAGAACGCCAAUUUCAGGGGCAAAGGAAUUGAUUUGUUUCAUUGUCUCAUCUAUUGUCAUUGUAUGGUGUUGGUGUGCAACAACUUCAAAAAAUAAACCUUACAACGCAGAAUACCUCAGAAAAUAAACCCAUGUAAAGCUUGACAGCCUCCAUUGUGUUGUUAGUUCCUGUCCAUUUUGCCCCCUUGAUGCUCCACAAGCUUUUCCCCUUUUAUUUCCACUUUUAUCCCUCACACGGCAUGUAGCACAUAGUGGACGUGUCAUAGCUUCUUUUUUCUUGUUCUGGGGACUUUUUAAGACUGGUCUCUCAUUCAGUCCCUCCCUCUGAGCCAGAGAAAAAGAGAGAAGGAGAUCAUUGGGAGUGAAAGGAACACUAAUUCACAUUCUAGAAUUCAUUUGGGAUCACGUUUGAUCUUGAAAUCACAAAAGAGAAAAUAUCUUCGUCUAUAUCUACUGAUUUGAACUGGAGCUCGGUUUCCUCCUCUCUUCUCUUUAAUUCUUUUCAAACUAGAGAUGCUCAGAGGCCGAAGGUCAAUCUGUUAAAGCCCUAUAAUCCCCAUUCUUUCCUUUUGAAUACCUCUUUUCAUUUAUCAUCUGCAUUCUCAUCAUUAAAACUGAAUGUAACGACACAAACUAACCUCACGAUUCUAACUUGACAGAUGAAAGAAAAAUCAGAUACUAUAUAUGUACAUAUGUAUAACACAUGAAACACAAUGCAUUGUGUAUAUAUACAGAUCUCCUAAAGACAGAUACUUAUCUUGUGGAAAGGGAAAAACUCUUUUUCCUUUGUUUGAUUCAGGGAACAAAAGUCCAGUGCAGUAUGUUAGAUGUCACUCCCAUGCCCAUUGCUCCCUUUCUGACUGUAUGUUGCAUGUAUGUAGCAGUGGGCAGGGGGUGGCUGAGUUUAAACUAGUGGAGCUUUUAGAGUAGGUAGCUAGUCUUUUGAAACCUGAUUAUGUGAAGGGGGGGUGGGCUUUGUGAAAUGACACUGUAAAGACAGUAUAUUUAUGAAACAGGAGGAGGAGGAGGACCACAGAAAAAGCAGAAGGGGUGGAUGGGAAUGGCACUUCAUGGUCCCAUUAUAAUCUGUCCUUUAUCAGGUUAGGUGUAGCUUACGAUAUGUCAACUCCUGACGAAGGAAGGAAGGAAGGAAGGAAGGAAGGAAGGAAGGAAGGAAGGAAGGAAGGAAGGAAG
rnacentral:lncRNA from 1 species